UACGGAGGGUGCGAGCGUUGUUCGGAAUGACUGGGCGUAAAGAGUGCGUAGGCUGGAGUAUAAGCUAAUCGUUAAAGUCAUGGGCUCAACCUAUGUGUGGCGGUUAGAACUGUAUUUCUAGAGUAUGAUAGAGGCAGUCGGAAUUCCUGGUGUAGAGGUGAAAUUCGUAGAUAUCAGGAGGAAGAUCGGAGGCGAAGGCGGUCUGCUGGGUCAUGACUGACGCUGAGGCACGAAAGCGUGGGUAGCAAACGGG
rnacentral:rRNA from 1 species